GACGCAAAGGAGGUGGAGGAACCUGAGCUGCGCGCGGGAUCUGGGCUGCAACCUGUGGCCGCAGUCGCCUGCUGGGCGCCCUCCUGCCCGCGAUGGGCUGCUCCAGCAGCGCCCUCAACAAGGCCGGCGACAGCAGCAAGCUCCGCAGCGGUGAGCAAGGGACGGGACCCCACCCCCGCUCAGGCCUCGGGCUUCGGGUCGGCUCGCUCCCUGGGGGUCCAACAGAAGAAAGUGAGUCCUGCUUAGUCCAGCCAAAACCACAUAUACUGGGAAAAGAAUCGACUUUAUAUGGCCAGGUACAAAAGGGAAGCCUUCCUCCACUAGAAAAGCUCAAGAUUUCUGCUGUGUCUACAGCUAAUGGUGUUAAGUCCCUCCAUGAACAGCCCUUGGCAAAGGAUGCUGCAGACCCACCAGGAUCCACAGAGGAGACACAGCCUCUAGAGGGACUGAUGGAGUCUGAGCCACCUCAGCCAGAUGGCAAGGAUGAUACUCCAGAAGCAGGAGGAACGAAGAAGGAUGUGGAAGCAGUGACCGAGGCUCAACUUUUUAAAGGAAAUGCUGAGACUGAACCUUUGGGAGCAGAAGCCAAGGGUCAGCCUUUGAGGACAGCAGGAGAGAUCACCUCUCUUGGAGCAGUGGGAAGUACUGAGAAGCCACAAGCAGCUGGAGAGAUGAAACCUCUAGAAAGAGCCGAGAAAAUCCCACCUCUGGAAGCGGCUAGAGAGCCACAAUCUCAAGAAGUUGUGGGAAAGGAUGGACAGUCCCAACUCCCAGACCCAGUUCCCAAGGAGAUGGCAUCUCCAAAAAUACUGGAAGGAAGUCAGCUUGUGGAAACAGCUGCAAAGCAGCAAGUUCAAGAAACCCUGGGAGAAGAUGAGCAGUCUCAGCUGGUAGAAACAAUUCCCAAAGACAAUGAAUCUCUGGACAUAUUGGGCAGAAGUCAGCUUGUGGGAGCAGAGCAAGAGCAGCAACUUCAGGAAACCCUGGAGACAGAUGAGCAGCCCCAACUUCUAGAGAUGACUCCCAGAGAGAAUGGAACACUGGGAGUAUCAGAUGGAAGUCAGCUUGUGGAAACAGCUGUAAAGGAUGAUUUGCUCCAUACAACGCCUGAGAGUCCAGGAAACAUGGAGCAGAUCCCACCUGGGAGAGCAGUUGGAAGCAUGGAACAUCCAGCAGGAAGUCCAGAGACAGGGGCAGAGGUGGAAAUGGUCAGAAAAAUUCACACUAACAAAGAGGACCAACACAUUGAAGGUGAGACAGGAGAAAAGGUUGAAACAGAGAUGGAGGAUGAGAAAGUAAGUGAAGGGGCUGAAACAAAAGAAGAAGAAACAGGAGAAGCUGUGGAUCUGUCAGCAGCCACAUAGGUACGGUGAUGGAAGGGCGAAUGGACACAGCGUGUUAUAAUGGAGACGACAGAAAAAUGCAGCAGAGCUAGUGGUUACAGAUCUACAGAUCCUACCUUUUCAUGUCUACAAGUUUUAUACAAGGAGUGUGGUUAUCAUGUUCUUGAUUACAUUGUUCCAUAAAAUUGCUAAGCUGUAAAUAGUUAGCUACUUAGAAGAGUUACACAUUUCAAAACUACAAUAGCCAGAGCCAAUACCAACCAGGAUAUAUGUUAUUCGAGAGUCUGAGGGCGUUUUCUUCACUGUGGCAAUGGGUCCAUUCAGUGUAGACAAUGAGACCCCGAAACAAAGUAUAAACCUUUAAAUAUAGGUGGCUGGAGAAAGGAGUUGGCAAAUUUUAGGAAGCUCGUGAUAAUAGAGUCACAAAGAAUUAGGGUGGAAUAAGAAUGAUCAAGCAACAGGCGAACUAUAACUAGGGUUUCUUUCCUCUCAUAGAAUGUAGAUCUUGUAGGAACCUGGAAAAGUACGUCAUCUAAUUACCUUCUCACCUUAAGUCGGUCUACUACCAAAGAUCCUUACUGAUCAUGGUAUAUUAAAUACGGUAACAAAAUUGUCAUCAAAGGAAUGCAGAUUCUUGUGCUGUUGCAAGAUUAGGCAUUUUCACAGUGAAAGGCUACACAUUUUUUAGGUACCAUUUUGAAUCAGCCCUUGAUUUUACACUUAAUGUGAGCUGUUUCAAUUGGUGUUAUCCUUUUGAGUGACAUUAAAGGCAUUUUAAAUUAACUGACUUUUAAAUGUAUUUCAGAGGCAACAAACAUCAAGAGUUAAAACCUAGAUUUGUUGCCUAUGUGGAGUCUAUUCCUUGGAUCCCCCCCCCCUUUUUUUUUUAAAGAUAACUGUGAUUUAAUAUUAGGCUUUAGAAGUAGAAAAAAAGCUAAAAAAAAUCAAGAUUUAAAACCAGUUAUAAUAUUUCAUGAAUGUUAAAAUGAUGCAUCAUAGAAAUUUUAAGAAUUCCUUCACUGGCGUUGCCGUGAGCUGUGGUAUAGGUUGCAGACCCGGCUUGGAUCCCGCGUUGCUGUGGCUCUGGUGUAGGCUGGUGGCUACAGCUCUGAUUCGACCCCUAGCCUGGGAACCUCCAUAUGCCACGGGAGCGGCCCAAGAAAAAAAAAACUCCUUCAAAGUUGCCAAAGGGAUUUUUGGCAAAAGAUUAUAUGGGAAUAAUAAUAAUGAUAGCAAUAAUUUUUGACAAAUGAUUGUAUGUGAAUAAUAGCAAUGAUAGCAAUCUUGCCCACCAAGGAAUGCCUUGUGUUUAUGAAUAUCAGGAUAGAAUGAUAUUCUGGACUCAUUUGGUAUCUUUAUCUUAUUUGUAAAUAUAUAAAGAUUACUGCUCAGAUGAAUUACCUAGACUCUUUAGCUUAUAUAUUAGACUAUUAAGAUGAUGUAAUUAGUUGUAAAAGUAUAGGAUACAAGAAAGAAUUAUCAUCUUUUAAUGACUUUAGUGUUAGUUUAUGUUUCUGACUUUAAAGAGCUAAGGUAGACAACAAGAGGAGUUCCUUGAGUAGAUGACCUCAUUCUCACUGUGAAGUAAAGAAGCUGGACUGUGAUUUUAUUGAGAGCAAAGAUUAUUUUAUGUACCUUUGAAUUCAGGCCUUUAGCUCUUUUAAUGGAGCAAAAUAGGUGCUUGAUAAAUAUUUGCUGAAUCAAUCAAUGAAUAAUAAAUAUCAAGGGUUCUCAAAUUUAAUUCACUAAAAAAGAAUAUAUUUAAAAUAUGAUUUUGUGUGACACUAACAUUUUCAUUCCAAGGCUGCUCAAACUUAGUAACAAGCUAUACAUUUGGUGUAGUUCCCAAAAUAGCCAUAUUUUGGGGUCAGGAAGUUAUAUAACUCACAACUGAUAUCUUUCAAAUUCCAUUUUGUCAUCCAAAGGUGUUUUUCCUGACCAAAGGCAUUUUUUAAUGUUUUUUUUUUUUAAUUCCUCAAUGAAUUUAUCACAUCUCUAGUUGUAUAAUGAUCACAACAAUCCAAUUUCAUAGGAUUUCCAUCCCACAACCCUAGUGCAUC